UACGUAGGGCGCAAGCGUUGUCCGGAAUUAUUGGGCGUAAAGAGCUCGUAGGCGGUCUGUCGCGUCCGUUGUGAAAACUCGAGGCUCAACCUCGGGCUUGCAGUGGAUACGGGCAGACUAGAGUGCGGUAGGGGAGACUGGAAUUCCUGGUGUAGCGGUGGAAUGCGCAGAUAUCAGGAGGAACACCGAUGGCGAAGGCAGGUCUCUGGGCCGCAACUGACGCUGAGGUGCGAGAGCGUGGGGAGCGAACCGG
rnacentral:rRNA from 1 species